rnacentral:rRNA from 1 species
CAUGCAAGUCGAGGGGUAACAGGUUGUGCUUGCACAAUGCUGACGACCGGCGAACGGGUGCGUAACGCGUAUAGAAUCUGCCUUGUACAGGAGGAUAGCCUUUAGAAAUGAAGAUUAAUACUCCAUAAUGCUGGGAUGUGGCAUCACGCCCUAGUUAAAGAUUUAUUGGUACAAGAUGACUAUGCGUCCUAUUAGCUAGAUGGUAAGGUAACGGCUUACCAUGGCUACGAUAGGUAGGGGGUCUGAGAGGAUUAUCCCCCACACUGGUACUGAGACACGGACCAGACUCCUACGGGAGGCAGCAGUGAGGAAUAUUGGUCAAUGGAGGCAACUCUGAACCAGCCAUGCCGCGUGCAGGAAGACUGCCCUAUGGGUUGUAAACUGCUUUUAUAUGGGAAGAAACAGUCGUACGUGUACGGCCUUGACGGUACCAUAAGAAUAAGCACCGGCUAACUCCGUGCCAGCAGCCGCGGUAAUACGGAGGGUGCAAGCGUUAUCCGGAAUCAUUGGGUUUAAAGGGUCCGCANGCGGUCAAUUAAGUCAGAGGUGAAAUCCUGCANCUUAACUGUAGAACUGCCCUUUGAUACUGGUUGACUUGAG